UGAAACCAAGUAGCUAAAUAG
rnacentral:miRNA from 1 species